UUGUCAACAACAAUAACUUCAAUGGAAGCAUUCCUUCAACACUGAACCUAGUGCCGACAUUAGAGGCUCUGUGUCUCGACCGAAAUAAAUUAACCGGGCCAGUACCUCCCAUUCUUAAUAGCCUUGCUAGCAUCAAAGAACUGUAUUUAUCGAAUAAUAUGUUAUCUGGUCCUUGCCAAACUUAAUUGGAAUGAAUGCACUCUCUUAUGUGGACUUGAGUAACAAUUCCUUUGGUGCAUUAGAUGUGCCUCCAUGGUUCUCAACCAUGCCAUCUUUGACAACACUGUACAUCACUCUCUCUUUCUCUGGAUUAUUCAUUCAACUUAAUAUUUCUAAUGUGCAUAUGUUUAACCUGUAGAUUA